UACGGAGGGUGCAAGCGUUGCUCGGAAUUAUUGGGCGUAAAGGGUAGGUAGGUGGUCUCAUUUGUCUGGGGUGAAAGCCUUGAGCUUAACUCAAGAAGUGCCCCAGAGACGGUGAGACUAGAGUUCUGGAGAGGGUCGUGGAAUUCCCGGUGUAGCGGUGAAAUGCGUAGAGAUCGGGAGGAACACCAGAGGCGAAGGCGGCGACCUGGACAGGAACUGACACUCAACUACGAAAGCGUGGGGAGCAAACAGG
rnacentral:rRNA from 1 species